GCCGGGCAUGGUGGCUCACGCCUGUAAUCCCAGCACUUUGGGAGGCCGAGGCGGGUGGAUCACCUGAGGUCAGGAGUUCAAGACCAGCCUGACCAACAUGGAGAAACCCCGUCUCUA
ensembl:misc_RNA Metazoa_SRP Metazoan signal recognition particle RNA